rnacentral:rRNA from 1 species
GACGAACGCUGGCGGCGUGCCUAAUACAUGCAAGUCGAACGGAGCGGCGGACGGGUGCGUAAUGCCUAGGAAUCUGCCUGGUAGUGGGGGAUAACGUCCGGCAACGGGAGCUAAUACCGCAUACUAUCAGAUGAGCCUAGGUCGGUUUAGCUAGUGGGUGGGGUAAAGGCCUACCAAGGCGAAGGUCCGAAACUGGUCGGAGAGGAUGAUCAGUCACACUGGAACGGAGACACGGUCCAGACUCCUACGGGAGGCAGCAGUGGGGAAUAUUGGACAAUGGGCGAAAGCCUGACCCAGCCAUGCCGCGUGUGUGAAGAAGGUCUUCGGAUUGUAAAGCACUUUAAGUUGGGAGGCGUUACCAACAGAAUAAGCAACGGCUAACUUCGUGCCAGCAGCCGCGGUAAUUC